rnacentral:rRNA from 1 species
UAACAAGGUUUCCGUAGGUGAACCUGCGGAAGGAUCAUUGUCGAAACCUGCCCAGCAGAACGACCCGUGAACAUGUCCAUAAAACGAGCGGCCGGUGCUCGAUUCUUCGAGCGCUGACCCCUCACUAGGGCCUGUGCGAGGGAUACACCAGUGUGCAUGCUCGGCUUGCCCCUGCGAAUCCUCGUACACGGCUCGCUAACAAAACCCCGGCGCCGAACGCGCCAAGGAAUAACAAACGAAAAAGAUCGAGCGCCCGAUUGCCCCGGAAACGGUGUGCAAAAGGGAUGCAUCGUACUUUGAGAACCUAAACGACUCUCGGCAACGGAUAUCUCGGCUCUCGCAUCGAUGAAGAACGCAGCGAAAUGCGAUACUUGGUGUGAAUUGCAGGAUCCCGCGAACCAUCGAGUCUUUGAACGCAAGUUGCGCCCGAAGCCUUUUGGCCGAGGGCACGUCUGCCUGGGUGUCACUCAACCGUCGCCCCAUCCCCUUCCUUCGGAAGGGAUGUUAUCGGGGCGGAUGCUGGCCUCCCGUGUGCAUGUUGCCCGCGGUUAGCCCAAAUGUCCGGUCCUGGACUACGGUGCCAUGGCAAUCGGUGGUUGCAAGACCCUCGCAAAAUGCCGUGAGCGCUCGAAUGCCCAGAUGGCCUACAAGACCCCGCAGCAUGCCUACGCGCACGCUCGCACAGCGACCCC